AUCGCAGGCUGCAACCCGCCUGCGUGAAGUCGGAAUCGCUAGUAAUCGCGGAUCAGCAUGCCGCGGUGAAUACGUUCCCGGGCCUUGUACACACCGCCCGUCACACCAUGAGAGUCGGGAACACCCGAAGCCCGUAGCCUAACUUGCAAGAGAGGGCGCGGUCGAAGGUGGGUUCGAUAAUUGGGGUGAAGUCGUAACAAGGUAGC
rnacentral:rRNA from 1 species